AAUCAAGUAGUAUUUUAUGAGUUGGUUUAUUUUCAACUAAUAAUUGUUGCUAUUGACUGCACUCUCAGAGUUUAAUCACCAGCUAAAGAGAAUGCUGAAUACUUUAGGAUUAGAAAAGGUUAUUUUUCUUUCUUUGUUCAAUCUAUUUCGGACGCAAGAUUAUGAAUAUUUGUGGACUACUUUGGCAUAUAAUGGCAUAUCAAACUGUAUUUAAUUUUCAUAGUUGUAAAUAAACUGUUUUGUAUCAGAAA